rnacentral:sRNA from 1 species
CAAUGAUCAGUGGCCUUUAUCUAACACCAGGAGCAGCGAGCACAUAAAAGGGGUCAUGGUUGAGCUGGGGAAGUUUGAAAGGAAGGAGUUGAAAAGUUCCAGUUUGCAAGAUAGACAUACAAAAAUGGAGGAAGCACCUACACAUCUUAAUUCAUUUCUUAAGAAAGAAGGAUUGACCUUCAACAGGAAAAGAAAAUGGGAAUUGGAUAGCUACCCCAUUAUGCUCUGGUGGUCCCCGCUGACGGGGGAGACUGGGAGGUUAGGCCAAUGUGGAGCAGAUGCUUGUUUCUUCACCAUCAACCGGACCUACCUGCAUCAUCACAUGACCAAAGCAUUCCUCUUCUAUGUCCCCAUGAAGAAUCACCACCUUUGGCAGAAAAUGAUGGUACUGACUUUAACAUAGAUAGCUUACCUCUGCCUCGGAAAGCCCAUCAUGACUGGGCUCUUUUUCACGAAGAGUCCCCGAAAAACAAUUAUAAGCUCUUUCAUAAACCAGUGAUCACCUUAUUCAACUACACUGCCACGUUCAGCAGGCAUUCCCACUUGCCACUAACUACCCAAUACUUGGAGAGCAUUGAAGUCCUGAAGUCACUCCGAUACCUAGUUCCUUUGCAGUCCAAAAACAAGCUUAGAAAAAGACUUGCUCCACUGGUGUAUGUACAGUCAGACUGUGACCCACCAUCAGACAGGGAUAGCUAUGUUCGCGAGCUGAUGACUUACAUCAAGGUUGAUUCCUAUGGUGAAUGUUUACGAAACAAAGACCUCCCUCAGCAGCUGAAAAAUCCAGCCUCUAUGGAUGCCGAUGGCUUUUAUAGGAUCAUUGCACAGUAUAAGUUUAUCCUAGCUUUUGAGAAUGCAGUUUGUGAUGACUACAUCACUGAGAAGUUCUGGAGGCCACUGAAACUGGGGGUAGUCCCUGUAUAUUACGGAUCCCCCAGCAUCACAGACUGGCUUCCAAGUAACAAAAGUGCUAUUCUUGUAUCAGAAUUUUCUCACCCCAGGGAACUGGCAAGUUACAUCAGACGACUGGAUUCUGAUGACAGAUUGUAUGAGGCCUAUGUAGAAUGGAAGCUGAAGGGUGAGAUCUCUAACCAGCGACUUCUGACAGCUCUCAGGGAACGGAAAUGGGGAGUGCAAGACGUCAACCAGGACAAUUACAUCGAUGCAUUUGAGUGUAUGGUGUGCACCAAGGUGUGGGAUAAUAUCAGGCUUCAGGAAAAG